CUUCUCCUUGCUGCUGCCACAUGAAGAAGGACGUGUUUGCUUCCCUUUCCACCAUAAUUGAAGCCAGCUGCUGCCAGAAACAAAGCCUGGACAAGUCGGCUGGAGGAUGUAAGACCAUGUGGAAGAAAAAUCAGCUGUCCUAUCCUAGAGUAGCCUUCAGCCAGCUGACUUGCAUCUAACUACAGAUGCACAGAAGAGCCCAGCAAGA
rnacentral:lncRNA from 1 species